rnacentral:rRNA from 1 species
UGCAUCGAUGAAGAACGCAGCGAAAUGCGAUACGUAAUGUGAAUUGCAAAUUCAGUGAAUCAUCGAGUCUUUGAACGCACAUUGCGCCCCCUGGUAUUCCGGGGGGCAUGCCUGUCCGAGCGUCAUUGCUGCCCUCAAGCACGGCUUGUGUGUUGGGCCCCGUCCUCCGAUUCCGGGGGACGGGCCCGAAAGGCAGCGGCGGCACCGCGUCCGGUCCUCGAGCGUAUGGGGCUUUGUCACCCGCUCUGUAGGCCCGGCCGGCGCUUGCCGAUCAACCCAAAUUUUUAUCCAGGUUGACCUCGGAUCAGGUAGGGAUACCCGCUGAACUUAAGCAUAUCAAUAAGCGGAGGAA